rnacentral:rRNA from 1 species
UGCAUGGCUGUCGUCAGCUCGUGUCGUGAGAUGUUGGGUUAAGUCCCGCAACGAGCGCAACCCUUGCCAUUAAUUGCCAUCAUUGAGUUGGGCACUUUAAUGGGACUGCCGGUGACAAACCGGAGGAAGGUGGGGAUGACGUCAAGUCCUCAUGGCCCUUAUGGCCAGGGCUUCACACGUAAUACAAUGGUCGGUACAGAGAGUUGCCAACCCGCGAGGGGGAGCUAAUCUCAGAAAGCCGAUCGUAGUCCGGAUUGUUCUCUGCAACUCGAGAGCAUGAAGUCGGAAUCGCUAGUAAUCGCGGAUCAGCAUGUCGCGGUGAAUACGUUCCCGGGCCUUGUACACACCGCCCGUCACACCAUGGGAGUGGGUUUUACCAGAAGUAGGUAGUCUAACCGCAAGGGGGACGCUUACCACGGUAGUAUUCAUGACUGGGGUGAAGUCGUAACAAGGUAACC